rnacentral:rRNA from 1 species
UACGUAUGGUGCAAGCGUUAUCCGGAUUUACUGGGCGUAAAGGGAGCGCAGGCGGCGCGCCAAGUCUGAUGUGAAACCCCGGGGCUCAACCCCGGGCAUGCAUUGGAAACUGGCGGGCUGGAGUGCCGGAGAGGUAAGCGGAAUUCCUAGUGUAGCGGUGAAAUGCGUAGAGAUUAGGAAGAACACCAGUGGCGAAGGCGAUUCUCUGGACUGUAACUGACGCUGAGGCUCGAAAGCGUGGGGAGCAAACAGG